rnacentral:rRNA from 1 species
UACGAAGGGGGCUAGCGUUGUUCGGAAUCACUGGGCGUAAAGCGCACGUAGGCGGACUUUCAAGUCAGGGGUGAAAUCCCGGGGCUCAACCUCGGAAUUGCCUUUGAUACUGUAGGUCUCGAGUCCGGAAGAGGUGGGUGGAAUUCCUAGUGUAGAGGUGAAAUUCGUAGAUAUUAGGAAGAACACUGGUGGCGAAGGCGGCCCACUGGUCCGGUACUGACGCUGAGGUGCGAAAGCGUGGGGAGCAAA